rnacentral:rRNA from 1 species
CAAGGGCCCCAAAGGAAGCCACGGCUAACUCUGUGCCAGCAGCCGCGGUAAUACAGAGGUGGCAAGCGUUGUUCGGUAUUAUUGGGCGUAAAGAGCACGUAGGUGGUUCUGUAAGUCAGAUGUGAAAGCCUUCUGUUCAAAGGAAGAACGGCACCUGAAACUACAGAUCUUGAGUGUAGGAGGGGAGAGUGGAACUUCUGGUGGAGCGGUGAAAUGCGUAGAUAUCAGAAGGAACGUCGGCGGCGAAAGCGACUCUCUGGCCUAUUACUGACACUGAGUGUGCGAAAGUUAGGGGAGCAAACGGGAUUAGAUACCCCGGUAGUCCUAACUGUAAA